UACAUGGGGUGCAAACGUUGCUCGGAAUUAUUGGGCGUAAAGCGCGCGUAGGCGGUUACUCAAGUCGGAUGUGAAAGCCCUCGGCUUAACUGAGGAAGUGCACCCGAAACUGAGUAGCUAGAGUACUAAAGAGGGUCGCGGAAUUCCCGGUGUAGAGGUGAAAUUCGUAGAUAUCGGGAAGAAACACCGGUGGCGAGGGCGGCGACCUGGGUAGAUACUGACGCUGAGGCGCGAAAGCGUGGGGAGCAAACAGG
rnacentral:rRNA from 1 species